rnacentral:sRNA from 1 species
UCACUGAGAGCAGCUUGACACAUCUGUCACUCAUUCAUCAACAGAGCUGUUUCCAUGAUCCAGCCAGCACACAGGCGUCUGCUUUCCCCCUUGCUGUAUGUGGUUUCCCUCACAGAGCUGUGCGCUUCACUGAAGGUGACAGCAUUCCCUGACAGAGGAGACUGUUCCUCAAGCUAAGAUUUAUGAGGAGCUGAGCGCCCCUGCUUGAACCUCCAAAAAAGCUCUCGAGAUCUGAAGAAACCCUCCCAAGUACUUCUUAACGCAGUGCCUUAAUAAGAAAAGGAAACGGAUUUGUCAAAGUCUCACCUGACUAAAUUC